rnacentral:piRNA from 1 species
UCCUGAAAUGCAGCUCUGGACGGUCCAGA